rnacentral:tRNA from 1 species
GCCCGGAUAGCUCAGUCGGUAGAGCAGGGGAUUGAAAAUCCCCGUGUCCUUGGUUCGAUUCCGAGUCCGGACACCA